rnacentral:rRNA from 1 species
CUCCUACGGGAGGCAGCAGUGAGGAAUAUUGGUCAAUGGCCGGAAGGCUGAACCAGCCAAGCCGCGUGAAGGACGAAGGUGCCAAGCAUUGUAAACUUCUUUUGUCAAGGGACAAAAUCAGGCUCGAGAGCCUGACCGAGGGUACUUGAAGAAAAAGCAUCGGCUAACUCCGUGCCAGCAGCCGCGGUAAUACGGAGGAUGCGAGCGUUAUCCGGAUUUAUUGGGUUUAAAGGGUGCGUAUGCGGGCUGUUAAGUCAGCGGUAAGAGCCCGGGUCUCAACCCCGGCGAGCCGUAGAAACGUGCUG